AUAAAAUGAGCUCCAGUCGUGGUGCCAGUAGACAAUCUCCUGCUGGUUCUACUAGACUCAAACCAAAUCCCAACUUCUUCAAUUCUCCUAGUCAAAGUGAUGGGGUAGGUAAGGAGGGGACUGUACCAGAAUCCUUAUAUAAAGAAGCUCGUAAAACCAGUUCACUGAACCUGUGAAACAGGGGCAUUAGUGCUAUUCCUCCUAAACUGUGGAGACUCAAUAUUGAUCCUCCUGAUGGUAGUACUGCUUCAUUUGAUGUUGAUGAGAGAUGGUGGGACCAGGUGGAACUGACUAGACUGGAUCUAUCAUCUAACGAAAUCAAAGAAAUAUCUGAAGAUAUUGAAAACUUUAAUUCAUUGUCAGCGCUUGAGGUCCAGUACAAUGAGUUAAGAUGUCUACCUAAUAAUGUGAUCAAACUGGAUAAACUAUCUAAAAUAUUUGCAAGUUAUAAUAAACUACAGUGUUUACCAGUAGACAUUGGAUAAUUGACUAAUUUACAGUCUCUCAAUAUAUCACACAAUUCACUAACUGUUCUACCACACUCAAUCAAAUUAUGGUUCAGUUAGUCUUCAGCCACUUACCAGCACACGCAAUUCUGUCUAUUCAGCACCUGAAGCAGGCAAUCCAAAGGAACACUCUCCUGCAAUGGAUGUCUUCAGUUAUGGUGUCCUCCUUAUGGAAAUGUCCGUUUGUCAGUUUCCAGACGUAGGAAAGAGAGUGGCUCAGAUUAAAGCUAUCAAGAGGCCGACAUUGAAGAAUCUCAUUGAACAUUGUCUGAUAGAGACUACAAAGAUUGUCCAACAAUGUCUGACAUUAUAA